GGUCGGCCGGAGCGCCGUACUACCUUGACACGGUAGAGGUCACUGGUUCGAGUCCAGUACCGCCCACCA
rnacentral:tRNA from 1 species